CCUCGAUAGGCGCAGGCUCAUGCAUACACAACUGCAUAUCUAUAUCUAAGCAAUCACUGAUUGUAUCACUGAUCAAGUGGGUGGAUGUGAAUUUCAGUAUAGACUGCCAUCUUGGGUUUACAAUAUCAUCACGAGAUAUGUGAUCGGUCAUAGAUAAUCAAUCUACUGAGGACCAUUGUCUAAGGUAUAGACAUGGCAGGAAAUAAAGUUGUAACAACAAGCAACCAGACUGACAAUGAGACGUGUAAUUAUGGAGAUUCAGAAAUCAUCGUAUUAUGUAUGUCAUUAUGUGUUCUUAUCAUCGUCAGUUUAUUGGCGUGUGUGUUUCGGCGAAUGUUCCAGAACAUGUUUACUGGAAACAUCAUCAUUACGUAUUUAACCACAAAUAAUGUAAGGAAUAACAUACAGAUGGCUCCGUUGGAACGGACCGAGACGAUCACUGGAAGCUUAGCGAUUAAAAACAUGAUGCGUAACAUCGAAAUAUCCCAGGAGCACACCGAUUCAACAGUCUAUGACUGUACACAAGAAGUUAUAUCCAGAGUUAAAGCUGAAGCAAAAAUGUUGCAAAUGAAAUCAAGGCUUCUGCAACUGAUCGACCCAAACAUUAGAAAAAGCUGUUCGCGAUAACCAAGAAACAGUCCGUGAGGUUAAAAGUGCUGUUCGAACAGGCAUUGAAUCUUUACGGAAUGAUUUUGCUGUUGUUGAUCAAAAGAUUGAAAGCCUAAGAAUAUCACCAACCAUAACGGCAAAUGAGAAAAACUACCUGCGGAAGUCCGAAGAGCUUCGUAAGCACUUGGUAAUUCAUUACAUCGAAAUCUUAAGUCAUGCCCCUAUCUCCCCUUUGUUGAACAGCAAGGACAAACAUCUGUUCGACUUCUAUAUACCUCCCAAGAUUCUUAACACUGCCAACGAUAAAAAAAGGGACGAACUCAAGAGAAAGUAAUGAAAUAUGAGCAUAUUUUGUUCAAAGACAAUAAUACGUUAAACCGUCGGAUUUUCAUUCAAGGAGAACCAGGGAAAGGAAAAUCGACAUUCUUGGCUAAAUUAGUUCUUGAUUGGUGUGCAACACAAUCCCGUUGCCUUCAAAACCAGGUAAGUAAAUUCGCAAAUUUGAGGCGUUUGGCGAUGUGCAAAAAUUAAGAUACUUUAAGUUCCAUUUCUUAAUUUUGUUAAGGGAUUCGAUGGAGCAGCGCAAGAUAGUUGAGAUUAUCAAAGAACAAAUUACAGGUAUAAUAUAUCCUGCUGGUAAACGUGAAGAAUUUUAUGAUAUUCUAAAUUUUGUGCUCGAAAAGGAAAAUUGUAUAGUGGAGUUAGAUGGGUUAGAUGAGUGGUCCGAUCCACAAAACAAGGUUGCUAUACCUUCAUUAGCAAGCUGUUACUCGCGCUGCACUUUGUUGAUCACAACCAGACCUUGGAAAUUGGUUGACGAGCGUAUUAUGGAUUCUCAGGUCAACAUACUGUUCGAAAUCGAUGGAAUUUUAGGUCCAGAAGAACUUGUUGAAUUAAUACUCAGAGGGCUGCAUCAUGAAAAUCCCGCAA